CGCAUUCAAGAUGAUCAACGGCGAUUUCAAGGUCUUCGAGGGGAAAUGGUCCGUCUAGGAGGUUGAUGGUAGCAUUGUCGAAGGUGGGGAAAUUUCAGAGGACCAGGGACUCCAGACAACACUUUCUUACCUAGUUGAGCUGGAGCCUAAUCUCUGGGUUCCAGUGAGGCUACUGGAAGGAAGGAUCUGCAGUGAGAUCAAGGCCAACCUUGUUUCGAUCAGAGAACAAGCACAGAGGAUCCAAAGAUUACAGCACGAGUGAUGACUAGAGACCUUUUCUGAGAAGUUCAUUCUGGAUUGGCAACUUGUUGACUGAACAGAGAUUGCAGAAGCAAGCCUUCAGUAUGAGCAAGACAAUUGCACAGUAUUUGAUUAGGAAAACCAGAAGACAUUUUCCCUCAUGUUUUUUCUUUCAUAUAGCUUGUACCGUAAAUAGAUGCUAAAGAAUUUCCCCUCUAAGUUUUACUGUGUAAUGUUAUCAUUAGAAUUUUCUAGGUUUUAGUCAUUAUUCUUGAUUUUUUCCUUUCACAAUAAGUUAUUGUACCCAUUUUACCGGCCUCCAAUGAGAUUUGUAUAUAACUUGAAACUUGAGAAUGAAAAACGAAUUUGUACUGGGUA